UGAACGCUGGCGGUAUGCCUAACACAUGCAAGUCGUACGAGAGUUUUUAACUCUAGUGGCGGACGGGUGAGUAACACGUGAGAAUUUACCUUUAGGAGGGGGAUAACAAUCGGAAACGAAUGCUAAUACCCCAUAUGCUUUCGAGUGAAAUGGAUUUAUAUUUAUCCGCCUAGAGAGAAGCUCGCGGCUGAUUAGCUUGUUGGUAAGGUAAGAGCUUACCAAGGCGACGAUCAGUAGCUGGUUUGAGAGGACGAACAGACACACUGGAACUGAGACACGGUCCAGACUCCUACGGGAGGCAGCAGUGGGGAAUUUUCCGCAAUGGGCGAAAGCCUGACGGAGCAAUACCGCGUGAGGGAAGACUGCCUAUGGGUUGUAAACCUCUUUUUUCAGGGAGGAAUAAAAUGACGUGUACCUGAAGAAUAAGCAUCGGCUAACUCC
rnacentral:rRNA from 1 species